rnacentral:rRNA from 1 species
GACGAACGCUGGCGGCGUGCUUAACACAUGCAAGUCGAACGGAAAGGCCCUGCUUUUGUGGUGUGCUCGAGUGGCGAACGGGUGAGUAACACGUGAGUAACCUGCCCUUGACUUUGGGAUAACUUCAGGAAACUGGGGCUAAUACCGGAUAGGAGCUCCUGCUGCAUGGUGGGGGUUGGAAAGUUUCGGCGGUUGGGGAUGGACUCGCGGCUUAUCAGCUUGUUGGUGGGGUAGUGGCUUACCAAGGCUUUGACGGGUAGCCGGCCUGAGGGGGUGACCGGCCACAUUGGGACUGAGAUACGGCCCAGACUCCUACGGGAGGCAGAAGUGGGGAAUAUUGAACAAUGGGCGGAAGCCUGAUGCAGCAACGCCGCGUGCGGGAUGACGGCCUUCGGGUUGUAAACCGCUUUCGCCUGUGACGAAGCGUGAGUGACGGUAAUGGGUAAAGAAGCACCGGCUAACUACGUG